rnacentral:rRNA from 1 species
AAUCAACGCUGGCGGCGUGCCUCAGACAUGCAAGUCGAACGAUUAAAGCUCCCUUCGGGGGAGUGCAUAAAGUGGCGCACGUGUGAGUAACACGUAAGUAAUCUACCUUCGAGUGGGGAAUAACGUUCGGAAACGAACGCUAAUACCGCAUAAUGCAGCGGCAUCUAUGAUGACAGUUGUUAAAGAUUUAUCGCUUGAAGAGGAGCUUGCGGCAGAUUAGCUAGUUGGUAAGGUAAUGGCUUACCAAGGCUACGAUCUGUAUCCGGUCUAAGAGGACGGUCGGACACACUGACACUGAAUAACGGGUCAGACUCCUACGGGAGGCAGCAGUCGGGAAUUUUGGGC